GAUUAAACAAAGAGUUUUUUGAUCACCUACAAACUGAACUUGGGCAACUUCGAUUUGCAAUCAAUAGAACCAAGGAAAUAGAAGACAGGACAAUUGAGUUGGAAGCCAUGCAGAAGGUCUUGCUAGAGGGCACAGAAGCAUAUGAUAAGAUGCAAAUGGAUUUUGUAUCAGCAAGGGAAAGGCUUU